AGUGAACGCUGGCGGUAGGCCUAACACAUGCAAGUCGAACGGCAGCACAGUAAGAGCUUGCUCUUACGGGUGGCGAGUGGCGGAAGGGUGAGGAAUCCAUCGGAAUCUACUUUUUCGGGGUGGAUAACGUAGGGAAACUUACGCUAAUACCGCAUACUACCUACGGGUGAAAGCAGAGACUCUUCGGACCUUGCGCGAUUAAAUGAGACGAUGACGGGUUAGAUAGGUGGCGGGGUAAAGGCCCACCAAGGCGACGAUCCGUAGCUGGUCUGAGAGGAUGAUCAGCCACCCUGGAAUUGAGACACGGCCCAGACCACUACGGGAGGCAGCAGUGGGGAAUAUUGGACAAGGGGCUGAAGCCGGAUCCAGUCAUACCGCGUGGGUGAAGAAGUCACUCGGGUUUGAAAGCCAUUCUGUUGGGAAAGAAAAGCAGCAGUUUAAUACCCCGCUGUUCUGACGGUACUCUAAGAAUAAGCACCGGCUAACUUCGUG
rnacentral:rRNA from 1 species